rnacentral:misc_RNA from 1 species
AUUUAGUCACUUUGCAUGAUUGCAUAUCACACUCUUGGCUGAUGUCUCCUCGCCUCAGUGUUGCUGUCGACCUCUGCCUUGCCUUGCCUUGCAUCUGCGACUUUCCCGAUGCCUCACCUCCUAUUGCCGACGAUCGCUUUUCAAGUUGCAACCUCAACUCUGCUUCUUCCUUUUGCGGUCUUGGAUUUGCAACCUCAACUCCGAUUCUUCGUUCUUGCUUUCAUCCUCACCUCACUCCGCAUGCAACUAUAAUUUUUCUGAUUUUGAUUUUGAUUUUCCUUAUGGGUUUUUCUGAUUUUGAUUGUUUCUUAUGAGUAAACUGUAUUUGUUUUUAUUCUGAUUUUAUUAUGGUUAAUUGGUUGAAAAUUUGCUUCUUAUGGGUCAUUGUAAUCGUUUCAUAUUGAUUCUAAUAGUUUCUUGUGGCUUGAAAAUUUGUCAAUUUCAUAAUGGAUUGUUUGGGUUUUUGUCA